rnacentral:rRNA from 1 species
AUACGGAGGAUCCGAGCGUUAUCCGGAUUUAUUGGGUUUAAAGGGAGCGUAGGUGGAUUGUUAAGUCAGUUGUGAAAGUUUGCGGCUCAACCGUAAAAUUGCAGUUGAAACUGGCAGUCUUGAGUACAGUAGAGGUGGGCGGAAUUCGUGGUGUAGCGGUGAAAUGCUUAGAUAUCACGAAGAACUCCGAUUGCGAAGGCAGCUCACUAGACUGUUACUGACACUGAUGCUCGAAAGUGUGGGUAUCAAACAGGAUUAGAUACCCUGGUAGUCCACACAGUAAACGAUGAAUACUCGCUGUUUGCGAUACACUGUAAGCGGCCAAGCGAAAGCGUUAAGUAUUCCACCUGGGGAGUACGCCGGCAACGGUGAAACUCAAAGGAAUUGACGGGG